ACCCUCGUGGCCUAAUGGAUAAGGCAUCGGUCUCCUAAACCGGGGAUUGUGGGUUCAGAUCCUACCGAGGUGUU